CAGCAGCCGCGGUAAUACGUAGGUGGCAAGCGUUGUCCGGAAUUAUUGGGCGUAAAGGGCUCGCAGGCGGUUUCUUAAGUCUGAUGUGAAAGCCCCCGGCCCAACCGGGGAGGGUCAUUGGAAACUGGGAAACUUGAGUGCAGAAGAGGAGAGUGGAAUUCCACGUGUAGCGGUGAAAUGCGUAGAGAUGUGGAGGAACACCAGUGGCGAAGGCGACUCUCUGGUCUGUAACUGACACUGAGAGACGAAAGCUAGGGGAGCAAAUGGGAUUAGAUACCCGAGUAGUCCCUGUCUCUUAUAU
rnacentral:rRNA from 1 species